UGCCAGACUCCUACGGGAGGCAGCAGUGAGGAAUAUUGGUCAAUGGGCUUACGCCUGAACCAGCCAAGUCGCGUGAGGGAAGACUGCCCUAUGGGUUGUAAACCUCUUUUGUCAGGGAGCAACGCCGGCUACGUGUAGCCGGACUGAGAGUACCUGAAGAAAAAGCAUCGGCUAACUCCGUGCCAGCAGCCGCGGUAAUACGGAGGAUGCGAGCGUUAUCCGGAUUUAUUGGGUUUAAAGGGUGCGUAGGCGGGCUUUUAAGUCGGCGGAAAAUUGUCGGGGCUCACCCCCGGCCCGCCGUUGAAACUGGCAGUCUCGAGUUGGAGAGAAGUAUGCGGAAUGCGCGGUGUAGCGGUGAAAUGCAUAGAUAUCGCGCAGAACUCCGAUUGCGAAGGCAGCAUGCCGGCUCCACACUGACGCUGAGGCACGAAAGCGUGGGUAUCGAACAGGAUUAGAUACCCCUGUA
rnacentral:rRNA from 1 species